GCCACGGUGGUCUAGCGGUCAGAACACUAGCCUUGUAAGCCUGGGGUACCGGGUUCAAUUCCCGGUGGUGCUC
rfam:Zootermopsis nevadensis contig14886, whole genome shotgun sequence.